rnacentral:lncRNA from 10 species
GGUUGGUAGUAAAUUUAAUGCAUUAUUCUUUCUAAUUUUCUAUUUCCAAUUUAACAUCCUGGUUAGUAUUCACACAGGAUAUCCAAUAGAAAUAGAAAUGAUUGCAAAGCUAGAAAAUAAUAAAACAUAUUUAAGUUUUCUGGUAUCUGUAUAUUCUUUCAUAAUAUUGGGAUAACAAAAUUUCCCUCUAUGACGUGUUGGUGUUACAUAAAUGAAAAAAAUGAUUUUUUGGAUUUUUUUUCUAUCUCUUAUGUGCUACAACUUCUCUCCUGAUACACAAUAGAGCAAUUAUCUGACUGCGAGACAUAACCGAAUUUUGACUUUUGUUGAUAUUUCUAUUUACAUUCUUUUAUCUAUUACUCUAAAUUUAGUCAAUUGUCUAUAUAUACACAUAUAUAAACGUCUAUAUUUUAUAUAUACACAUAUAUAAACCUCUAUAUUUUAUAUAUACACAUAUAUAAACCUCUAUAUUUUAUAUAUACACAUAUAUAAACCUCUAUAUUUUAUAUAUACACAUAAAUAAACCUCUAUAUUUUAUAUAUACACGUAUAUAAACCUCUAUAUUUUAUAUAUACACGUAUAUAAACCUCUAUAUUUUAUAUAUACACGUAUAUAAAACUCUAUAUUUUAUAUAUACAUAUAUAAAACUCUAUAUUUUAUAUAUACAUAUAUAAACUCUAUAUUUUAUAUAUAUACAUAUAUAAACUCUAUAUUUUAUAUAUAUACACAUAUAAACUCUAUAUUUUAUAUAUAUACACAUAUAAACUCUAUAUUUUAUAUAUAUACACAUAUAAACUCUAUAUUUUAUAUAUAUACACAUAUAAACUCUAUAUUUUAUAUAUAUACACAUAUAAACUCUAUAUUUUAUAUAUAUACACAUAUAAACUCUAUAUUUUAUAUAUAUACACAUAUAAACUCUAUAUUUUAUAUAUAUACAUAUAUAUAUAACCGUGUUUAUAUAUAUAUAGUGCAUCUAAGCUUUUCAUACAGUUUUAGAGGGGUAUUUUAAAAUAUUAAAUGAUUUUUAAUUUGAAUUUGAAGACUAUAAAUUGUCUUUCACACAUUUUCUUUUACAUUUCCUUCUUGUUGAGCUAAGCUGUUAGAUAUUGGUUUUUCUCAUAUAAAUUUUAAUUACAAUAAUAAUUACAUUUUUCAAAAACUGACUGGUUUUACAAUAUAAUAUUCCCAAGUAGUUAUACAUUCAUUCUUACAUAUUUAACUAUUUUUUUCUGACUAAGUUACAUAUUUAACUACUUUUUUCUGACUAAGAAUAUUACUUUUUUUCUGCUUAAAAAUUUUUUUUAUUAAGAUUAUAUAAUCUAAAAAAGACUUGAAAGUUCCAAUGCAGGAGCAGAUACAGGAAUCAUUCAAUAAAAUUGGGAUUGACAACAGGUAUAAGUUUAAAAGAGGUGUACUUGAAUUCAGAUCUUAAGCCAGGACCCGAAAUUAAAAUUAAACUGUAUUUGUUGAGCAAUUCUAAGACACAUAAACCAUAGGAAUUAGGAUAAAACCAUUCAGAAAGACUACUAGUUAAUUCAAUUGAUUUUCUGUUAAUAGAAAAUGCUAAUUAAUAAGAAUUUAUUUGUAAGAUCAGGCUUGAAAGUGAAUAUGUACUUACCCAAAAUUUCACAUUCCGUCCUACAUUAUCAUAUGUGUUUGCUUUUCUCUUUUCAACAAAGCUCCUGUUCACAGAGAGCUCAUGUCAUUUCUUUUGUUGAGUCCUGUCACCUUUGCCAAUAGUUUAUCACAGGGAUUUGAUAAAACAAUUUUAAAAUAACUCAGCUGGGUGUGGUGGCUCAUGCCUGUAAUCUCAGCACUUUGGGAGGCCAAGGUGGGUGGAUCGCUGGAGCCCAGGAGUUCAACAGCCUGGGCUGUAGCAGGACGAGCAGAGGACAAAACCUCACAGACACCGAGGAAGUGAAGGAAGUGGCUUUAAUCAACUGGAAGCAACAGCAGACUAAUGUCUCAAAAUCUGAGCUUCUCGAGUGCACAAUUUCUCUCCCUUUUAAGGGCUCACAAUGCUGAAGAUUUUACAUGAAAGGGCAGUGCUUGAUUGAGCAAUCUAGGGGGUAUGUGACAGGGGCUGCAUGCACUGGUAGUCAGAGUGAAACAGAACAGAACGGGAAGUUUCCCAAUGUCCUUCCAUACAAUGUCUGGAAUCUAUGGAUAACAUCAGUUGCUAGGUCAUGGGUUGAAUUUUAACUACCAGGUUAGGUCUGGCAGGCCCAGGUCUGGUUUUGGGUCUGGUUUUGGGUCUGGUGCCUGGUGCUGGGCUGCCUGCCUUUGGUUUUGCUUCCUUGUUUCUUCUUAAAACAGGUACUGAGCAUAAAACAACAUGGGGGUGUCUCUUUCUCUCUUCUCUCAUUUCCCCCCUUUGAGACCCUCACUUAUUUUAUUAGUGGGAGUUCUCACUUUCAUUUUCACUACUUAUGUCUUCCUGUGCAAUAGAUUGAUAGUGAUUCAUAUAAUAUACUUGUGCUGAAGCAUUCUGGUGAACUAGGGUAGCAAUGAAGCUUUUUAUCAUUUGAAGAAGUACAGGUAGCAAACAAGGGAGUAGUAAGCAGGUUCCUAUUACUAUUAUAACUCCUAUUAUAAGAGUUUCAAAUCCUCCUAUUGCUGGGAACCAAGUUCCAAACAUGGCCCCAGGAUCAAAUCCCUGCCACACUUGCACAGGUACAUGUGCCAGUUUUGUUAUAUCUUUAACUAUGUCUUCAGCUAAUUGCCCCUGAUAAUCUAUGUGUAGACAGCAAUUAGUAAGGUUAAAUUUUCCACAAACCCCUCCUUCAGCUGCUAGCAAGUAGUUGAGAGCUAGUCUAUUUUGGUAGAUAGCAUUUCUCAUCUGAGUCUCUUGCCGGACAAGAACAGUCAAGGCUGGACCGGUUUUAUUAGUAAUAAUUUCUGAAACAGCUUGUAACCAUAUGAUUUGGUUGAGCAUGUAGAUGGGGAUCUGAUAUACCUAUGAGCCAUCUUGUGCCCAAGUGGUGGGCCCCUAGUAUUGUAUAUUUCUUUCAGGGGGCCAUUCAUCAUCUUUCCUGUUACCUAUGGCUAGGCUUCGCUUUUCGCAGGAAGCAUAGACAGGGAAUCCUAGGAGUUUGCCUGUUUUUAUGGGCAGUAGGAAGAAAGAUGGUUUAAUACUGCCAAUUACACAACUACCUGUCCACUGAUCAGGUAGCUUAGCAUAGGCUCUAAGUCCACAUAUCCAGUAUAACACAGUAGGGGCUGUCCAGUCCCGGUGCAAUUCUGGAUGGGCCCAAAUGGCCUGUAAUCUUGGAUAUUUACUGAAUGGAUUUUUUUUUCUGUGUGGUUUGAACUCCACCAUGUAACUGUUUUUAUGGUACCAUUAUACAGUUUCUGUCCAAGACAACUAAGCAAUCCUACAGGAUGAGUGAAUUAUUUUCCUUCUCUAGCUAUGCAAUAUUGCCCAGUAACUGAGACUUUUAGAACCCAGAAAUUGUCAGGGUGGUUCUUUUGGGCUGGGAAUUCAUCAGGAACUGGGUCCGUAGGGACUAAUUCUCAGUCUUCCCAUGGCCAUUGAUCUUCUGUUACAGUUCCUCCACAGACAUAACAUGAAGUGACUUUUAAAGACUGUGCUACAUGCUCGGCUAAUUGCAAAAACAAAUUUCUAGUUUUUCCUGGAAUCUCAGGUACUGGCACAUUUAGUUCAUCAUAGAAAGUCUGAAAUACUGGCUCUGGAGAGCAUUUUUGAACCUCCCCUUUUAUUAAGAUAUUUACUCUAGGAUCUAGUCCUUUUCCAUCAAUGCCUAGAGAUACGUGCUCUCCUUUUUCCCACUUUGGGUCUGAGGGAUUUAUAAUUAUUAAUUCUAAAGGGUAGCAGCUUCCAUUUGUGCAGGAGGGGCUGCUUUUUCCUUUUUGGAGCCAAACAAUAUCUUUUUAAUCUUUUUUCCAAGUAGCCCAGAUGAUACAAGACCAGUACUGACACACAUUUGUACAUGAAUAUGAUUCAUGGCAGACAUACUUAUUUCCUGCUGUGUAACUCUUUUCCCAAUCUCUAGAACAGCAUCCUAGUCCUUGCUGAUUACUAUUAAUAGUGGCCCAAGUGUCAAAUUUUAGAGUUUCAUGUUUGGGGACCCCUCUUUCUUCUGUUCUAGCUAUUACUUUACUUGUGUCACCUAGAAAAGGACCAGUGCUUAGUCUUAUUUCAAAAACCGUGAUCAUGGGAGGUUCAGAGGGGUCAUAGCACACAUCUGGCUGAUCACUUCUUGGAUUACAUACUUUGUACUGAGUGUUAUUAUAUAAACAGGUUCCUUUUCGAGUUCCUGGGCACUCAUAAAAACUAUAGAACAAAAAGAUUGUCUUAACUUGUUGUCCUACCUCAGUGAUCUGAUGCAUGCACUGAAAGCAGUCCUCUGUGUGGGAAGAAGCAGUGGAAGCUUUUACCACACAAGUCCGUGUCAUGAGGAAAAUAAGUCCCACGACGAUUUUCCUCAUGCUUCCACCAUGUGUAGAUCAGUCAGCUUCUGGGUGUGACUGAAGCAGGGCUUGUGGUCCUCCUCAUGGUCACUUUACGGGGAUUGUCCAGGCUUGGUUUGGCCUCCCAGGUUUCAGUGGCUGCAGGCUUUAAGCAGCUGUGGUGAAUCCAGGCCGGGAUUCCUUCCACCUUUACAGCUGUGGGAGUGGUCAGGAUAAUGGUCUGGGGUCCUUUCCACUGUGCCCGCAAAGGGGCUACGUUCCAGUCCUGGAUCCACAUACGGUCACCUGGAGAAAAAGGGUGAACUGGGGAGAAUAAGCUGACAGGGUACCUCUCAUUUACCCAAGUUGCGAUUGUCUCAGUAAUUUUCCCCAAGGCCUGUAGCUGUCACUGCAAUUCAAUUUCACCCAACUCUUGGGGAGUACCCGGAAGUCCUCGCAGUAUAGGAGGAGGCCUAUGAUAUAAUAUUUCAUAAGGGGAGUAUCCUGUUUUCUUAAAGGGGUACACCUAAUUUUAAACAAUACCAUAGGAAGGGCCUGUAUCCAUUUUAAUCCUGUCUCUUGACAUACUUUCCCUAAACUAUUUUUGAUAGUCCGAUUCAUUCGCUCCACCUUUCCGGAACUCUGAGGUCGGUAGGCAGCAUGUAACUUCCAUGUGAUUCCCAGUACCUUUGCUGUCUUCUGUACUAAGUCAGCCACAAAUGCCGGCUCAUUAUCUGAGCCGAUCCAUAGAGGCAGUCCAAACCUAGGGAUGAGAUCUCUAAGAAGCACACGGGUUACUUCACCAGCUUUUGCAGUUUGUGUCGGAUAAGCCUCUACCCACCCAGAGGACUUCAAAUACGUGACAAUAGAGACAAAUGAAUGAGGAAAAGAAAUACAAAAAUAUACCUUUUAUCAUGAGGAUUAUUCUUUCCUGAAGGACGCGUGAGACAUUUGGUGCAGAAGACCUGGGUCAGAGGGACUCCUUCGGGAGACCAGUCUCCUGUCCUCAUCCUCACUCCGUGAAGAGAUCCACCUAUGACUUUGGGUCCUCAGACCAACCAGCCCAAGGAACAUCUCACCAAUUUCAAAUUGGGUAAGCGGUCUUUUCACUCUCUUCUCCAGGCUCUCUCGCUACCCUUCAAUCUCCCUGUCCUUCCAAUUCCUGUUCUUUUUCCUCUCUAGUAGAGACAAAGGAGACACAUUUUAUCAGUGGACCCAAAACUCCGGCACAGGUCACGGACUCAGAAAGACAGCCUUCCCUUGGUGUUUAAUCAUUGUGGGGAUGCCUGCCUGAUUAUUCACUCACAUUCCAUUGGUGUCUGAUCACCACGGGGACGCCUGCCUUGGUCAUUCACUCACAUUCCCAUGGUGAUCUCCUCAGCUUAGCAGUUGAAGACUGAUGCUGCCUGAUCACCUCAGAAGCCCCCUGGACCAUCAAGGAUGCCGAGCUUCAAGUAACUCUUACAGUGGAGGGUAAGUCCAUCCCUUGUUUAAUCGAUAACGGGGGCUACCCACUCCACAUUACCUUCUUUUGAAGGGCCUGUUUUCCCUUGGCCCCAUAACUGUUCUGAGUAUUGACAGCCAAGCUUCAAAACCCCUUAAAACUCCCCCACUCUGGUGCCAACUUGGACAACAUUCUUUUAUGUACUCUUUUUCAGUUAUCCCCACCUGCCCAGUUCCCUUAUUAGGCCGAGACAUUUUAACCAAAUUAUCUGCUUCCCUGAUUAUUCCUGGACCACAGCCACAUCUCAUUGCCACCCUUCUUCCCAACCCAGAGCCUCCUUCACAUCUUCCUCUCAUAUCCCCCCACCUUAACCCACAAGUAUGGGACACCUCCACACCCUCCCUGGCAACCGAUCACAUGCCCAUUACUAUCUCGUUAAAACCUAAUCACCCCACCCAAUGCCAGUAUCCCAUCCCAUAACAGGCUUUAAGGGGAUUAAA